AGUUCUAAAUAUGAAAUGGUAUCAGUUUUGGUUUGUAGCAUAUUUAUUUGGUAUUAUUAAAUUCGGAUUGUAUCUUAAAUGGGUACUAUCUAGGAUAUAAUUCUCUCAUCAACCAUAUUGGUUUAGUACAUUUCAUUUCAAGACUGGAUAUUCUUAGCCAUUCGCGCACACUGCGAGUGGUGUGGCCGUGGGUGGCAUUCGCGCACACUGCAAGUGGUAGCCACAAAGUCACCCAUCGCUCACACCUCACAGCAAACCCUAAUAUUUUUUUGCCCCUUUUUAAAACAAACCCUAAUUUCUCCCUUCACUGAAACCCUAAAUUCAUCGCAACCUUUUCUGCCUAGAAUCGGCCAUUGAAGCUCCACUUCAGAGAUCUAAGAUCCCUUGGUUCGGAUACUGCCGUCGGUCGCAUUUGCGGACACUGCAAGUGGUGGCCACAAGGUCACCCCAUCGCUCACACCUCACAGCAAACCCUAAUGUUUUUUUUGCCCCUUUUUAAAACAAUCCCUAAUUUCCCCUUCAGUGAAACCCUAAAUUCAUCGCAGCCUUUGCUGCCUAGAAUCGGCCAUUAAAGCUCCACUUCAGAGAUCUAAGAACCCUUGGUUCGGAUACUGGUGUUGUAAUACAACAGAGGGCAUAUGGACAUGGACAGCUAUAUAAAGAGGGCGAUGGGUAAACUGGUUCGGCAAAGAUGAAAAAAGAAUUGGUUCGGCAAAGAUGAAAAACGAACCACCAUUGUAAAACUUAUAGCAUUUAUAACAAUAUUGAUUUAUAACAAUAUUGAUUUUGGUGAAAUAGAUUUAUAACAAUAUUGAUUUGGUGAAAUAUUACUCUUUUGGUGAAAUAAAUUGUGAUUGUGAUUGUGAUUCCAGCGUGAUAGAUUUACCCAUGAUUAUGGGUUUUAGUGAAAUAAAUUGUGAUUGUGAUUCCAGCGUGAUAGAUUUACCCAUGAUUAUGGGUUUUAGUGAAAUAAAUUGUGAUUGUGAUUCCCGCUUAAUAGAUUUUCGCAAUUUAUGAUUAUGGGUGUUUAUGAAUUCUAUUUUUUCUUUUUAUGUAUAUAAAAAUAUAUAAUAUUUUAAUAACAUGACUGGAUUAACCUGUUUCCCAUCCAAAUAGGAUGACUUAGGAACUGGUUAAUCCGGUCAUGUUAUUAAAAUAUUAUAUAUAAAGAAAUAGAAUUCAUAAAUAUCCAUAAUCAUAAAUUGAGACACACUGAAAUCACAAUCACAAUUUAUUUGACUGAAAGAUUAAUAUUUCACCAAAAUCAAUAUAACUACAAAUGCAAUAAGUUUUACCUACCUUAAUAUAAAGAUUCUUUUUCUCAUUUUUGCCAAUCUGUUUACCUCAUCUCCCAUCUCCAAUUUGCUGACAUUGGCUUUUUUAUGAAACAAAAGGCUAUGCAUAGAGAUAUGGAUGGGCCAUCCUGAAGCAAAACCAUUUAGAAAGGCGAGCUUUCCCCUUUAUGAUCAACUUGCUUUUAACUUACCAUACUAGUAGAAGGUAAACAUGCCACAGGGAAAAGGCAAUUAUCGACUGUUCGUCAAGAGUCAAUAGAAGAUGACAUAAGUGAACCUAAAAUUGAGCAAAGUCCACAAUCAGACCCACACUAUAAUGCAAAUGAGAAUGAUUUGAGCUUUUCAGAUGAUAUGCCUAUGGACCCCCUUGAAAGGAACAAAUGUCAUGCUCUUGUAAAAUUAAUUCCACAUGUCUAGCCCUGCAAGUAGAUUAGCAGUAGCUGUUGAAAAUUUAGUCAGGGCAAACAUGUCAACCUCUUAAAUAGUACAAAAGGCUACAGAAAAUGAAGAGUUUUCAUAUAAUAGUGCUUGAUAGAAUUGCAGCAGUUGGAAGGCUCAAGUCAAAGUGAGCGUGUGCAAGCAAUAGAUUUACUUGCUAAUGAAAAGGUGGCCAUCGCAUUUAUGACUCUCGAAGGAGAACUUUGUUUGGAUUGGCUGCGUUCUAAAUGUCACAUAGUAGAGUAGACAUCCAUUUUGUAUUUUUAAUUUUUUUUUUUGUGUGGGGACUGUUAAUUAGUUACUUAAAGAACUUCCUAAUCUAUCUAUGACUUUUGGACCUGAAUUUGUUUAGUAACAUGAAUAAAAUGUUUGCUGAUUUUUAAAUUUA